rnacentral:rRNA from 1 species
GCAAGUCGAGGGGUAACAGGGAAGCUUGCUUCUGCUGACGACCGGCGCACGGGUGCGUAACGCGUAUACAAUCUGCCUCACACUGAGGGAUAGCCUUUGGAAACGAAGAUUAAUACCUCAUAGUAUUAUUUAAUGGCAUCAUUAAAUAAUUAAAGGUUACGGUGUGAGAUGAGUAUGCGUCCUAUUAGCUUGUUGGUAAGGUAACGGCUUACCAAGACAUCGAUAGGUAGGGGUCCUGAGAGGGAGAUC